rnacentral:rRNA from 1 species
AGACGUCUACAUUAGAUACCCGCGUAGUCCCAGCCGUAAACUAUGCGCGUUAGGUGUAUCGGUGGCCACGAGUCACCGAGGUGCCGAAGGGAAACCGUGAAACGUGCCGCCUGGGAAGUACGGUCGCAAGGCUGAAACUUAAAGGAAUUGGCGGGGAGCACCACAACGGGUGGAGCCUGCGGUUUAAUUGGACUCAACGCCGGGAAGCUCACCGGAUAAGACAGCGGAAUGAUUGCCGGGCUGAAGACUCUGCAUGACUAGCUG